rnacentral:rRNA from 1 species
UACAGAGGAUGCAAGCGUUAUCCGGAAUGAUUGGGCGUAAAGGGUGCGUAGGCGGCGCGGUAAGUCGGGUGUGAAAUCUCGGAGCUUAACUCCGAAACUGCAUUCGAUACUGCCGUGCUUGAGGACUGGAGAGGAGACUGGAAUUUACGGUGUAGCGGUGAAAUGCGUAGAUAUCGGAAGGAACAUCAGUGGCGAAAGCGACUUCCUGGACCAAUACUGACGCUCAUGUGCGAAAGCGUGGGGAGCAAACAGG